UGAAGCUUCCUAAGCUUUUUUGAGGUUGUUUAGUUAUGAGGUUGCAACAUUUUAUCAACUACCUAGAAGAAAUCCAAGAACAUACAAAAAUAGUGACAAACUUGGUGAUUUCAGAAUCUGGUGACAGGUUACAUAAUUGUUCAAUUGACCAACUUCAAAGGGAGCAUAUCAACAUGAUUGUUAGAGUAUAUUCAAGAGGUAUGAAACCCUGUAUUACAAAUGCAACUACCUAAGUCCUUAUUUUCUUACUUCUUACUUCUUUGUCUAAUUGUUCCUUUAAUACUCAAUUUCAUUGUUUGAUUUCUAAAUUGCUAGAAUAUAAGCACAUUUUAUAGAAUCUAAAUUUUGUUUUGUAUGAAUAGAGAAACAAUUAUUCUAGAUGUUAUCACUUAUAUUGAGAAGUUGCCAGACAAA